rnacentral:rRNA from 1 species
UACAGAGGGGGCAAGCGUUAUUCGGAAUUAUUGGGCGUAAAGGGCGCGUAGGCGGCCUGGCAAGUGACGGGUGAAAGCCCUCGGCUCAACCGAGGAACUGCCUGUCAUACUGCCGGGCUUGAGUCCGGGAGAGGUGAGUGGAAUUCCCAGUGUAGCGGUGAAAUGCGUAGAUAUUGGGAGGAACACCAGUGGCGAAGGCGGCUCACUGGACCGGAACUGACGCUGAGGCGCGAAAGCGUGGGGAGCGAUCCGG